CUUCGUCCCCAUAAGUUCGCUCAAAUAAAACAUGGGCUCAGAAUCAGGACUUGAUUUCUUGUUAAUACGGUAAAUGAAGAGUGCUCGCGUGUCGAGGCGCUGGGAGCGGAAGAUUGGGGCUUGACAAUGGAGGAAUUGGAUCGCUUGGAGCAUAACGCUGCUCAGCAAGUUGCGGCCAGGCGCAGCGCGGCUGCAUUUGGUUUGCCACACGCCCAGAGCUGCUGGCCAGAAGCAUGGAUGGAAGAGCACCUCCACAUCAUGUUCCAUCGCCAAAGAGAAGCUAUUUCUCAAGGUGUCCAAGCAGCCCGAUGAGAAAAUCGGGUUAUGAUGAGAGCUUGGUCGCGGCUUACAAAACUGUGGUUGGUCAAGAAUGGGUGACAAACUUGCGGUUGUUUUGUUUUUUUUCCCGCUGAAUGUAUUUUUCGCAGUUUAUGGACUUAUCCAGAGCAUCGACUGCCCGAAACUGACAAGAAUUCCAGGCAGAUACAACUAGUUUACAAAGGAGCAAUAUAUGUUGACUUUGAGGCAUAUAUGUUGGAUAGAAAGACGUAAUUACAUCCUUCUAAGUUGAAUAUGAUACAGGUCGAGAUUGUCAUGGCACUGGAAGAGAAGUUCAAGAUCCAAGUGGAGCAGGAGGGUGCUGAGACAGUCAAGGACGCAGCUGAUGUGAUCCAUUAUCCAUAAGCUCAUUUGUGAAUAAAAAUGUAAAUUGUAAUAGAU